UACGAAGGGGGCUAGCGUUGCUCGGAAUCACUGGGCGUAAAGCGCACGUAGGCGGAUUGUUAAGUCAGGGGUGAAAUCCUGGAGCUCAACUCCAGAACUGCCUUUGAUACUGGCGAUCUUGAGUCCGGGAGAGGUGAGUGGAACUGCGAGUGUAGAGGUGAAAUUCGUAGAUAUUCGCAAGAACACCAGUGGCGAAGGCGGCUCACUGGCCCGGUACUGACGCUCAUGUGCGAAAGCGUGGGGAGCAAACAGG
rnacentral:rRNA from 1 species